CGGGACGUAGCUCAGCUUGGUUUAGAGCGCUUGCCUUGGAAGCAAGAGGCCGCAGGUUCGAAUCCUGCCGUUCCGA
rnacentral:tRNA from 1 species